rnacentral:rRNA from 1 species
GAACCUCCGGAAGGAUCAUUACCUAGAGUUUGUAGACUUCGGUCUGCUACCUCUUACCCAUGUCUUUUGAGUACCUUCGUUUCCUCGGCGGGUCCGCCCGCCGAUUGGACAACAUUCAAACCCUUUGCAGUUGCAAUCAGCGUCUGAAAAAACAUAAUAGUUACAACUUUCAACAACGGAUCUCUUGGUUCUGGCAUCGAUGAAGAACGCAGCGAAAUGCGAUAAGUAGUGUGAAUUGCAGAAUUCAGUGAAUCAUCGAAUCUUUGAACGCACAUUGCGCCCCUUGGUAUUCCAUGGGGCAUGCCUGUUCGAGCGUCAUUUGUACCUUCAAGCUCUGCUUGGUGUUGGGUGUUUUGUCUCGCCUCUGCGUGUAGACUCGCCUUAAAACAAUUGGCAGCCGGCGUAUUGAUUUCGGAGCGCAGUACAUCUCGCGCUUUGCACUCAUAACGGCGACGUCCAAAAGUACAUUUUUACACUCUUGACCUCGGAUCAGGUAGGGAUACCCGCUGAACUUAAGCAUAUCAAUAAGCGGAGGA